AUGUCUAUAUUUCAUAUCAUUUUGCAGUUUUACAUUCGUAUUUGUAUUUGAGUUUCAACUGUAAAUUGUUUUCAAGAAUUUUGUAAUAAAAAUGAAGUUUGUCUGUUAGUUUAUGUUUUGAUUGUUUCCAUUUCAAAAUUAUUCAGUGUUGUCCACGUACAAGUUGUUAUAUAAAAAUUGUUGUCCUCCUUACGGUGUCUAGUAGCGACAUUUUAUCCUCCAACCAUUAUACAUAUUUAACUUACUAUUUUUUUUUUAGAUGGCAGUACAGCAGAUCAUUCGAUACAUGCUGAGACAAGAAUUCACAUUUCUACCACCAUGCUAAAUAUCAAUAUGCUACGUUGAAAAUUGUACUAGACGGUACUGCUAAUAAUAAUGGUUUUGUGCAACGUGCGUGUAAUGGAUGGCAGUACAGCAGAUCAUUCAAUACACGCUGAGACAUGAAUUCACAUUUCUACCACUAUGCUAAAUAUCAAUAUGCUACGUUGCAAAUUGUACUGACAUUGUAUUGACAUUCAAAUAUUACAUUUAAGAUGAUACUUCAUACACACAAUAAAACAUGAUUUUACAUGAUGGCAGUACAGCAGAUCACUCGAGGCAUGCUGAGACAUGAAUUAACAUUUCUAUCACUUUGGAAAGUUACAACAUCUUCCGUUGAAAAUUGGAAUAGAAGAUGGCAGUAUAUCAGAUCAAUCGAGGCACGCUGAGACACGAAUUCACAUUUCUACCACCAAGGAAAGUAUCAACAUACUAUGUUGAAAAUGGACUAGAAGAUACUGAUAAUAAUAUUGGAUUUAUGCAAUAUGGCAGUACAGCAGAUCAUUCGAUACAUGCUGAGACAAGAAUUCACAUUUCUACCACCAUGCUAAAUAUCAAUAUGCUACGUUGAAAAUUGUACUAGACGGUACUGCUAAUAAUAAUGGUUUUGUGCAACGUGCGUGUAAUGGAUGGCAGUACAGCAGAUCAUUCAAUACACGCUGAGACAUGAAUUCACAUUUCUACCACUAUGCUAAAUAUCAAUAUGCUACGUUGCAAAUUGUACUGACAUUGUAUUGACAUUCAAAUAUUACAUUUAAGAUGAUACUUCAUACACACAAUAAAACAUGAUUUUACAUGAUGGCAGUACAGCAGAUCACUCGAGGCAUGCUGAGACAUGAAUUAACAUUUCUAUCACUUUGGAAAGUUACAACAUCUUCCGUUGAAAAUUGGAAUAGAAGAUGGCAGUAUAUCAGAUCAAUCGAGGCACGCUGAGACACGAAUUCACAUUUCUACCACCAAGGAAAGUAUCAACAUACUAUGUUGAAAAUGGACUAGAAGAUACUGAUAAUAAUAUUGGAUUUAUGCAAUGUGCGUGCAAUGGUUAUUGAAUAUAAUUGAUACUAAAUUAAUAGCUGUGAAACAAUUGAGAUUUGUUAAAUAUCUGAAUAAAAUAAUAGUAAACAACUUUA